rnacentral:rRNA from 1 species
AUGGCCGCUUCCAGCGACGCUGAUCCGGUCGUUCCCGCAAAGGAGGCACCAUCCAAAGUCGACCUCCGCCGGGUCCGCGCUAACCUCCGAGUCCUUGAUCCACCGCCGGCCCUGUCCGCCGACCACUACGAAGGCCUCCGCGCCCUCGGCCACCUCGACUUCGUCCACCUCGCCCUCCCCUCCUCCGGGGCCCCGCGCCCCGACCUCGUCGCCGAGCUCAUCGCCAACUACAACGUUUGUCCGGAUCCCCCCUAUGAUCGGUGGUGGAGCUCCGUCCGUGGCGCCAGAAUCGAGAUCUCUCUCGAUACAUUCGCCAAGGCGCUCUGCCUCCCCAGGGAACCUACGGCCCCUGCCCCGCCUGCCGUGGACGACGCCGUCGUGGUGUCAGCCGCCCACGAGUUCCUUAAGAUGAAGUUGACCUCUGCGGCCGGGGCGCAUAACUUCUCCUGGGCGUGGUUCAUCUGGGCCCAAGUGAAGAGGGAGAUGGAGCAGUUCUUUGAGAAGAAGAGGAGGACGUACAAGCCGUGCUACUCUGCUAUGUACAUGCAGAGGCUCAUCUGGGCGGAGAGGCCAGACGUCUUCCAGCUGCCACCGGAGCCGUCCAUGGUGGACGCGUCAGCGGCGACGGCGUUGCGCCGCCAGCAGCACCAAGGAAGUAACCGAAAGCGUUCCUCAGAGCCCGACACGCACAAGACUGAGCAAGACGACGAGAUCGAUGACCUGCACGCGACGGUCCAUGCACUGACGGCCAUGCACAGAGAAUGCAAUGACCAGUUGCAGCGCACUCGGAAGAUGCUGAUAGAGGAAAUUCUCUUGGAGAAUGAUGACAAGCUUCGCAAGUUAAAAGAAGAGCAUGGUGAAGAAGUCUAUACCUUGGUAACAAAGGCACUACUUGAAGUCAACGAGUACAACCCGAGCGGACGCUACACCGUACCAGAGCUGUGGAACCGAAAGGAUGACCGGAAAGCAACACUAGAAGAAGCCAUGCAGUUCCUCCUGAAUCAUCAGCGGCAGUCACACAAGAGGAAGCGCCGCUGA